UACGUAGGGGGCAAGCGUUGUCCGGAAUCAUUGGGCGUAAAGAGCGUGUAGGCGGCCAGAUAAGUCCGCUGUGAAAUCUCGAGGCUCAACUUCGAGCUGUCGGUGGAAACUGUCUGGCUAGAGUCCGGAAGAGGACAAUGGAAUUCCUGGUGUAGCGGUGAAAUGCGCAGAUAUCAGGAAGAACACCCGUGGCGAAGGCGGUUCUCUGGGACGGUACUGACGCUGAGACGCGAAAGCGUGGGGAGCGAACAGG
rnacentral:rRNA from 1 species